UUCUUUCAUUUAUUGGGCCAAUUAUCUCCCCCUUGUAUUAUCUCAUAUAAGCCCAAAUGUCAAUAAUUUACCCUACGUUAUAAAUAGCUCUUGAAUCCCCAAAAUUUAACCACCUAAAAAGGUCAAAUGGUCAAAGGCACUACUUUUCUUUCUUAAUUUUUCCUUUUUCUUUUCCUUCCUUUCUUUUCUUUAUUUUUCUUUUCCUUCCUUCCCGUAGCUUUCCAUUAACAUGGAGUUUUAGUGGGUUAUGAAUGGAAGUACCUCACGGCUGCCACCGCCGGGAACAACCGGUCGGCCGUUCAGCCACCUGCCGGCGACCAUGGUCAGCCACAACCUUCCCCCUUCCUCUAUUCCUCCUUUUCCUUUUUCUUUUUUUCCCCUUUCAUUCACGGCUGCUUCCACCCGCCGUAGUCGGCGCCGCCCAGCCACCCACCAGUUGUCGGCUGCUGGCCGUCCACCACCCUUGCCACCGUCAUCAUCAUCAUCCCUUUCUCAUCUCUCCUCUUUUGGUUUAAUUUCAUUAAUUUGUAUAAUUAUACAUAUUAGUAUUGGUUUGGAUUUUUAUUAUUGAAACUUGUUUAAUUAGUAUCAAAUUCUAUAUUUUGAUGAUUAUAAUCUAAAAUUUUAGAUUAUUGGUUUAAUUUUAUUACUCAUAUUUCAUACUUUAUAUGGUUUGGAUUUUAAAAUGUUAAAGAUGACUUUUUUAGGGUUCUUUCACUAAUUAAUUUGGGGGUUUUGAAUACCCAUUUAUUUCGAUUAUUAACCAAGUAUAAAGAUAUGAUUUUACUGAGUUUUUAAGGAGUUUUUAACAAAGUAUUAAUGCUGGAAUUUUGUAUAAAGUAGUAUAAUUGUGAUUUUAUAAAAAGAGUUUAAUUACCCAUUAAAGAGAAGUUUAAUUAAGGGUUUUACUAUAAUUUUCAGAUUAUUUUAAGCAGUCUAAAGUGAAUUUAAGUUGCUGGAAAUUGUGUAUACAAGGGUAUUUAAUGUAGUAUUAUUGUCCCUUUAUGUAGGAGACUUGAUUCGGGUUUUGUUGUAGAGUACUAGGCUAUUUUAAGAGCUUAAUUGAGUGGAAACAAGUAGAGAUAAACUUUUCAGGUAUUGAAGCAUGAUCAUGAUGGGGCAUGAGUGAAGAGUGAAUCCAAUCAGUUUUUAUUAGAUUACAAUGUGUUUUAUGCUUUAUUUAUUUAUGAUAUAUUAUGUGUGGACUAACAUAAAAGUUUGAUUUGGGAACGGUUUUUGAAUAAGGGCCUUUAAUGGUUCCAAGUUGUAGUUUGAUUUUAUUUGACUUGUUCGUUUGGUUUUAAACUUUAUUUUCGUUUGGUUGACUUUGGGUUGACUUGUUUAAUCGGUUUUUAAUUUUGAGUCU